rnacentral:lncRNA from 1 species
UCUGUGCCUCCCUCUCUCCGGCUGCCUGCGCACUGCCGCAGAGGCUUCACCGCAACGCGAAGCCCACACCGCCACUCCGGUCCGCCCCUCCUCUGAUCCGUCACGCCUGGCGGCUUCUCCGGGAGGCUCGACGCUCCCUCCCGCAGCAGCUCGCCGGGAGCAGGAGGCAGGCGGUGAGCAGAGGAGCCGGGAACGCCCCGCAACCCAGUCGCGCCGCGGCUUUCCGCCGCUGCCCCGCCGGUCGUUAGAGUAGGUUGCGCAGAUCCGAGCGUCUAAUCUCUGCUUUUGAAGCUGACCGGCAUGUUAAGGCUGGCAGAACUUUUCCACGCUAGGGGAGCGGAAACUGGGGGUUCGCAGACUCCAGAUGUUUGAAGAAAACAAGCUUGAAGAUGUCCUAGAGCAUCUUCAUAGAGAACAAGGCACCAUGCAUUGCUUUUCUGUAUUCCAAAGAAAUGCAGAAUACGCUAAGAUACCUCACAGUAAGUUCCAAGUACAGUUUCAUUUAUAUUUGGAGAAAAUAUUUACACAGGCAAAUAUUGACAAAAAGUCUGUCAAUUAAAAUUAUUGACACACAUUGAGCCUCCAAACAUCUUACAAAUGAUAUUUGAAGAAAGAAAAGAAGAAACUGUUUAAUGUCUAUAUUUCUGAAGCUGGAUUCAUACUGUUUAAUCAAUAAAGAUGACCCUGAAUAUCUGUCGUGCAGACUAGACAUAGACUUCCCCUGAUGACAACUUGAUGUAAAAUGUCAUUGCAUUCUGGAAAAAUAGAUUUGUAUUUGGCCAAAUGAUAUCAAGCCAAAUGUUUUCUGAUUGUUUAUUUGAUAAAUCUAAUUAUUUUUUAAUAAUAGUAAAGCAAAGGUGUUAGGUUUUUUUCUCAGUUGUCAGCAACACGCAAGAAAUAAAUAUGUUUGCAACAAAGGAAAA